UGGGAAACUGCGAACGGCUCAUUAUAACAGCUAUAAUCUACUUGAUCUUGACAUAUCCUACUUGGAUAACUGUGGUAAUUCUAGAGCUAAUACAUGCACUAAAGCCCUGACCUUACGGAAAGGGUGCAUUUAUUAGAACAAAACCAAGCCGCUUGCGGUUUUUUGUUGACUCAGAAUAACUCAGCUGAUCGCAUGGUCUUGUACCGGCGACGUGUCUUUCGAGUAUCUGCCUUAUCAACUUUCGAUGGUAGUGUAUCUGACUACCAUGGUGGUGACGGGUAACGGAGGAUAAGGGUUCGACUCCGGAGAAGGCGCCUGAGAAAUGGCGACUACGUCUAAGGAUGGCAGCAGGCGCGCAAAUUACCCACUCUCAGAAUGAGGAGGUAGUGACGAGAAAUAACGAGACCGUUCUCUAUGAGGCCGGUCAUCGGAAUGGGUACAAUCUAAACCCUUUAACGAGUAUCUAUGAGAGGGCAAGUCUGGUGCCAGCAGCCGCGGUAAUUCCAGCUCUCAAAAUGCAUAGAAUUAUUGCUGCGGUUAAAAAGCUCGUAGUUGGAUCUGUGCUAGAGACUUGGUCCACCUUCGGGUGCGUACUGAGCUCUCUUGCUUUUCUGCCGGUUUUCCCAGCAUGGCUUUAAUCGGCUGUGUUGGGUGGCUGGUGAUUUUACUUUGAACAAAUCAGAGUGCUUCAAACAGGCGUUUCGCUUGUAUGUUUUUGCAUGGAAUAAUAGAAGAGGAUUUCGGUUCUAUUUUAUUGGUUUUAUAGACCGAAAUAAUGGUUAACAGAGACGAACGGGGGCAUUAGUACUUUUGCGCUAGAGGUGAAAUUCUUGGACCGCAGAAAGACUAACUACAGCGAAAGCAUUUGCCAAGAACGUCUUCAUUAAUCAAGAACGAAAGUCAGAGGUUCGAAGGCGAUCAGAUACCGCCCUAGUUCUGACCGUAAACGAUGCCAACUAGCGAUCUGCCGGUGGAAUAUUCGCCCUGGUAGGGAGCUUCCCGGAAACGAAAGUCUUCCGGUUCCGGGGGAAGUAUGGUUGCAAAGCUGAAACUUAAAGGAAUUGACGGAAGGGCACCACCAGGAGUGGAGCCUGCGGCUUAAUUUGACUCAACACGGGAAAACUCACCCGGCCCGGACACUGUAAGGAUUGACAGAUUGAUAGCUUUUUCAUGAUUCGGUGGAUGGUGGUGCAUGGCCGUUCUUAGUUCGUGGAGCGAUUUGUCUGGUUUAUUCCGAUAACGAGCGAGACUCUAGCCUGCUAAAUAGUCCACACAUUGCUA
rnacentral:rRNA from 1 species